UACAGAGGGUGCGAGCGUUGUCCGGAAUCACUGGGCGUAAAGGGCGCGUAGGUGGCGACCCAAGUCGAUGGUGAAAGCUCGCCGCUCAACGGCGAGUCGGCCACCGAUACUGGGUUGCUGGAGCACUGUAGAGGCUCAUGGAAUUCCGGGUGUAGCGGUGGAAUGCGUAGAGAUCCGGAAGAACGACCGGUGGCGAAGGCGGUGAGCUGGGCAGUUGCUGACACUGAGGCGCGACAGCGUGGGGAGCAAACAGG
rnacentral:rRNA from 1 species